AUCCUGGCUCAGAUUGAACGCUGGCGGCAUGCCUUACACAUGCAAGUCGAACGGCAGCACGGGGGCAACCCUGGUGGCGAGUGGCGAACGGGUGAGUAACAUAUCGGAACAUACCCUAGAGUGGGGGAUAACGUAGCGAAAGUUACGCUAAUACCGCAUACGAUCUAAGGAUGAAAGUGGGGGAUCUUCGGACCUCAUGCUCAUGGAGUGGCCGAUAUCUGAUUAGCUAGUUGGUGAGGUAAAGGCUCACCAAGGCGACGAUCAGUAGCUGGUUUGAGAGAACGACCAGCCACACUGGAACUGAGACACGGUCCAGACUCCUACGGGAGGCAGCAGUGGGGAAUUUUUGGACAAUGGGGGCAACCCUGAUCCAGCAAUGCCGCGUGAGUGAAGAAGGCCUUCGGGUUGUAAAGCUCUUUUGUCAGGGAAGAAACGGUGAGUUCUAAUACAGCUUGCUAAUGACGGUACCUGAAGAAUAAGCACCGGCUAACUACGUG
rnacentral:rRNA from 1 species